AGCAGCCGCGGUAAUUCCAGCUCCAAUAGCGUAUAUUAAAGUUGUUGCAGUUAAAAAGCUCGUAGUUGAAUUUCGGGGUUAGUAGGUUGGUCAUGCCUCUGGUAUGUACUGGUCUCACUGAUUCCUCCUUCCUGAUGAGCCGUAAUGCCAUUAAUUUGGUGUUGCGGGGAAUUUGGACUGUUACUUUGAAAAAAUUAGAGUGUUUAAAGCAAGCUAACGCUUGAAUACAUUAGCAUGGAAUAAUGAAAUAGGACGUUCGAUCCUAUUUUGUUGGUUUCUAGGAUUGACGUAAUGAUUAAUAGGGAUAGUUGGGGGCAUUAGUAUUCAAUUGUCAGAGGUGAAAUUCUUGGAUUUAUUGAAGACUAACUACUGCGAAAGCAUUUGCCAAGGAUGUUUUCAUUAAUCAAGAACGAAAGUUAGGGGAUCGAAGACGAUCAGAUACCGUCGUAGUCUUAACCAUAAGCUAUGCCGACUAGGGAUCGGAUGAUGUUAAUUUUUUUUUAAUGACUCAUUCGGCGCC
rnacentral:misc_RNA from 1 species